CGCUAGGCUCGACCGGGACGUUCGGCGCGCCCUUAUACACCGCCACGUCGAUAGCGGGGGUGACAGGGGAGGACGUCGUAACCGGAGCGGUGCGGGCCCUGCCGGUGACAAUGAGGCCCUGUCCUAUGGGGUUGGAAGCGUCAUGGAGGUGCGAUCGGAGGGUCGCGCGCCAUGUCAUGGUCACGGGGAACGGGUCAGGCCCUGACGGGAGCAGCCUUACCGUGGAUUACCAACGCUCAGAGGGGUGCGGGGCUAAGGAACUUGCAGGACCACCCGCACCAAUCCGAGCGGCAACCUCCCUGGCCUAGCA
rfam:Methanomassiliicoccales archaeon RumEn M1 contig00006, whole genome shotgun sequence.